AUCGGGUUUUGGAACGCUCCUUUGAUAUUGAUUGAUCGUGGGUUACGUGGGCUCCAUCGCCCCGUGCCCCUCCGUGAGGUGUGCCGCCAUUUUGAAGCAACUGCGCAGCAGCGAGUCGAGUGAGGCCCCGGACGAUAUAAAAGGCAACCGUGACGUCAGCGCCCUCAUUAUUGGCUUUCGGCGUGGUGCGGUGUAGACGUGUUGUGUCGUGAAGUGUUGCAGUUCUACAAAGACUUGCCUGGUGGAUUCAGUCCCAUUGCGUUUCGCGUGGGUCUGCAUCCGCCGGCCGCCAUCUUGGUUGCCCGGGCGGGCGCGGUCGCAGGCAGCUAGCCACAAUAUGGGUCACACAAUGAAAACUGCCGACAGUAUGUUUAAAAAGGCAAUGUGACUACAAUUGACUGAGAACACAAUAAUCGAGAUUAGAGCACUUAAAAUUAGCAACUUAGUUCAGUAGUAUGUUAAACAGUGGUCAAAAUAACGACACCGGAUUAUAUUACAUAAAAGAUAGCAAAGAAUAAAUGAAAUGGUGGAUGUGUUGGAAGUUUAUCAGGACAAAUGGCUUCAUAAAUGAAAAAGAAAAUAAGAACUACGAAACAAUGUUAACGAUAACCUUAACUUUUAUAGAUGAAGUUAACAAAUUGUAUAGUCCUACUACUAAGCAAGUUUGUAUGUAUUUUCAUUAUAAUGUUGUGAGAAAUUUAAAAACGAUAACAGUAUUAUAUAUUAUAUAAUAAUGAAAAAGAAAGCAC